rnacentral:tRNA from 1 species
ACUGGCUUAGUAUAUUUAAGUACCCCGGAUUGUAGGUCCGGUAGAGAGGUAGAUCAGUCGGAA